CACGUAGGGCGCAAGCGUUGUCCGGAAUUAUUGGGCGUAAAGAGCUCGUAGGCGGACUGUCACGUCUGCUGUGAAAGCUAGGGCUUAACCCUGGCCUUGCAGUGGAUACGGGCAGACUAGAGGUAGGUAGGGGAGAAUGGAAUUCCCGGUGUAGCGGUGAAAUGCGCAGAUAUCGGGAGGAACACCGGUGGCGAAGGCGGUUCUCUGGGCCUUACCUGACGCUGAGGAGCGAAAGCGUGGGAGCGAACAGG
rnacentral:rRNA from 1 species